rnacentral:tRNA from 1 species
GCCCGGAUAGCCCAACUGGCAGGAGGCGUCUGUCUUAGGAACAGAACAGUGUGGGUUCGAAUCCCUCUCCGGGUACCA